rnacentral:lncRNA from 1 species
CCCACUCUAUAACAAAACCAUCAUGAAACUAGACAUCCAUAGUUGCAUCACUACUUAGUGUCUCCUACUUCACCACAGAGCACAUCAGACCAAUGAGAAGCCAUGAUAAUCAGUGUCCGGCCAUUGCAACUGCAUCGUCUUUGGCAUGGUAAUGAAGAGGCACAAGGUAAGAGAGAGGACUUUCUAAACACUCAUUCUCCGCUCGACUUAAGGGUGGAUGAGGAGCCUAGCAAUUUUAUUGCCCAGUGCAGGUUUGAGAUCAGUGAUGAUCAGUGAUGUGGUCUUGUCCCCAACUAUUUUGCUACGCUAAUGUACGACAGAUGGAGCUCUUGUACAGUGACCAUCCAUUUUCAAUGCUCCUAAUGCUUCCCAUGCCUAUAUUUUCUGUCAACGUGACAAAAAGGAUAUUGGUUAU